GCCAAUUCAUUGGUGUCUAAGGAAGGCAACGGAGGAAGCCCCAUUGUUCUCCACUUACCUGAUCAAUUUGGAAGAUUGGGUCUUGAAUUAGGUUACUUAGCAGUUUGGUUUAUCCCAUGUCAGUUAGAUCAGUCAUAUGAUGACUGAUUAGAUGAGACCUAAAUACAAACCUCUCCACAAAUAUUAAGUCCAUAGAUCUUCCAUCAUUGUAGAUGUGCGGGUAUGUUAUCAACGUUGAUUGUUCUCGACUCGUCAUAGUGAUUCAG
rnacentral:lncRNA from 1 species